rnacentral:lncRNA from 1 species
GCGCCCCGGCCUCGCCGCGCGGCUGCCUGCUCCGUGCCUCCUCCAUGCCGGCUCGCGCGCCAGAAGACAGCCGCCGGGCCCGGACACGCGCUCAGUCCCACGCCAGCAAGGCUCAAAACCUCGCUUUCCUCUGUAGUACUUAAACCACCAGGCUGGCGUUCCCGCGGGCGCCGCCACACAAACUGCGGGAAACACCUCCCACUUCCGGAGCGUGUGGCGUCCGCACGCCGCGCAGGCGCAAUGGGCAGACGCGCGCGGAUCGCGGGCGCAACCGCCGCCGGGGGAGGCGGGAAGAAAGAGCUGCGCGCGGGCGCGCGCGGGAGGGAAGUGGGCGUGGACGACGCCCAGAGAUCUUGUUCAUCUUUACUGGACACAUUAUUGGAUCUUUUGCCAUUAUAUUGUGUACCACUGUGAGUGGGUUUUUUGUUUUUUCGGUUCUUUUUCUUUAACACAGAGUCUCUAAGUUGCUAAACUGUCUGGGCUAGGCUUAAAUUUGUAAUCUCCUUAUCUCACCCUCCCAGUGUACUGGGGUUACAGACAUGCACCACCACACCCAGUAUGAAUGUUCUAGUUUUAAAUUAAAAUUUAGGUUGGUUAUUUAUUAGUAUAAAAUACCAUUGAUUUUUAACUCCUAAUCUUUAGUGGAUUUUAAUAGUUUUAUUAUUUUAUUUAUUUGUAUAACCUUUUUUUGCGUUAUUUAGGUAUUUUUUCUAAGAUGAAUGAUCAUUUAAGCACAAUUCUAGCUCGACUGUUCCUGUCCUUAUACACUUACAUAUUCUUUUCUUCUUGCAAUGGCCAGCAGUAUUUUUAACAUGUUAAUAGUAAUAGCACUAUGCUUAUUUUAUGAAAAAUGUAUAUAAAGCUUCUAGACUUAUUUUAUUGUUUGUGGCAUGUUCCAAGGAGUUUUUCUUUUUUUUUUUUUUUUUUUUUUUUUUUUUUUUUUUUUGGUCUUUUUGAGACAAGGCAGUUCAGGCUGGCCUUGAGCUCACUUUGUAGCCCAGGCUGGUCUCGCA